rnacentral:lncRNA from 1 species
GGCUGGGGAGACAGCAGAAGUCACCCCCCAAACCCAGCCCCUCAAGCUCGGCCUGUGCCCCGGUCCCUGGGCCUGGGCUUGAGCUGGAGAAGGCGAGGUUGGACCCUGCAGCCCACACCCUCUACCCCGGGGCGCUUCCUGGCGGGGUUGGGGGACCCGUGGAGAAGGAGGUACGGGGGUGCAUGCCUGCCAACCCCUUAUCAAAGGGAUGCGGGAGUGACGGGGGAAACAGCUGACAGGUUCUUGGGAAAACAAGCCUCCUCUCCCCUCAGAUUUCUCUCUCAGAUCUCUGAACACCGAGACAUCCUAGUCCGCGCGAGCAGCCUGAGACCAAUACCUGUUCUCUACUCCUGCGAAAAAACAAAAAUAGAAGCCUUGUCCUUGCGAAAUAUUUUGCUGGGAGAGGUGGGGGGUGGGGGGGGGGCGCUAGCAGUAAGNACCCGGGCUGUGGGCAGCGCGGGAGCCCCCAGGACUGGGGCUGGCCGCGGGGGGCGGUGUGUGUGCCGGGGGGUGUCAAACAUUCCCAGAACUCAAGUAUUCUCCCGGCGCCCGUUGGGGCGGGGGCAGCAGCUGCGGCGGCCCAAGUUCGGGGCAACACUGCCCCCUAGGGGCCACUGCAGUAAGUUUGCAGCCGGGGCGGCGAGGGGCCUUAAGGACGGAGUCAAUGGUACCUGGGCAGGGGCGACAAUAACUCCCCCGGUGACCGGUGACAGGCCUGAAGAGGGCUUCCAAGCACCCGUUCUAGGGGCGGGGAAGAUGCGAUGGCACUCAUCAAGGCAUAGCUAUCAUUGGUCUUCACAUUGGAGAAGAUGCUGUCCCACUGACCCCUUGGACGGAAAAUGGGAUGACUAG